UUUAAUCCCACAUAUAUUUAUAUAAAUAUAUUAACAUACUUAUUAUUUAGCUGAUGAUUUCAAUAUAUAAAGUCUUUUAAUACUGUCUGAAGUAUGUUUUGAGAUUUUUUUUUUUGCUUUCAGUACAUAUUCCUUGCAGGAUUAAUCUGUGGAAAUUUUACCAGAUCUAGAUUAAGAGAGAAUUUGAUUUUGCUUUUGUCCAGUAUCUGGGGGCACCAUCAUCUUGGAAUAAUUUUAAAUUAAAUUCUUGGCUUGAGGCUUUCCCCUCCACCCAGGAAAGUGAUUUGGCCUGCACAUUUACAUGAGGGCUGACUUGCAGUUAUAAAUUCUCAGGGCAGACUUCUUUCCCCCUUUGUUUAUUUGGUGCCCUGGAUCACUAGGGGUAACUUUCCUUUCGAGGAACAGUAAAGGCUUUUGGGUUCCAAGUUUUUGCAGAAGGUUGUUAUCAGAAUCCUUACCUUGCGGGGUGCUGGUGGCUACGCUUUCUCUUGCCCCAGUGCUGAAAGUCUUCAAAACUGAAAUGUAAGGUCAAUGAAUUAAAGCCACUUCCUACUGCUUAUUUCUUUGUGUUCCCUCUUUCACUUACAUUUUGGCCUCUGAGAAGUCUUUGCUUUCUUGCCAGGGCUUGGAUACAUUUCAGAAAUGUAAAAAUAUAUUCUAUCCAUUAUUUUUAGUUUGUUUCAGCAACAGAAUUGUUGAAAGAAUCUCUUCCCCCAAACUGCUAUAAACAGAAGUUGCUAAGUAUUUUCUAUGGAUUCAUUUAUUUGGACCUCCCAAACUUGUCAUAAGAGAUAAAGUAAUCUGCCUAAAGUCAGAUAGCUAACAGCCACGGAAGCCCUAGUCUGGCAGGAAAGAAGAGUCAUUAGGCAUCAUCUGGCAACUUGGCUUGGAGAAGUCAGAUCAGUCACCAAGAGUCUGGUGGGGCUGCAGCAAUGGCUAGAAAGAACCAGUGACAUGAUUGCCAGAUAGAGUGGUCAGAGAAGACCUUUCUGAGGCCAUGGUAUUUAAGAUGAGACUUGAAGAGCAACAAGAAGCUAGACACACAAAGCAGAUAAUUUUUUAAUGGCCAUUUCUGGAGAGAAGUUUCCAAGGGAUGAAGUUAUUAUACAGUUUCCAAAUAUUCCUGAAGAGGUCUAAAGAAAAUGUAUUCUGAUUCCACCUUUUACCUGUUUUCCUUUUUUUUUUUCUCUCUCUCUCUUUUUGGAAUUUGUUAUUUGGAUAUAGGAUACACUAGGCUGGUGCUCCAAUUUUCUUAUAUUUUCUGUUUUCCUUGAAGUUUUAGGGGACUUUCUGAACUUUAUUUUUCAAAAUUCAGUUGAGUCUUUAUUGUUUUCCAAAUAUCAACAUUUCUUACCCAGACUAAUGAACUAGCCUACUCACUCAUCUUUCUGAUCCUAUUCCUCUAUAUUAUCCACCCCAAUCCCAAGUUAAUUCUUGUAUGGUCUUUUUGAAAGACUGCAUGAGGUUUUUUGUUUUUAUUUCUGCUUAAAUUAUUUGCUGAUUUAUUUGCACUUAGGAUACAGGCCUAAAUCCUUAGCUUUGCUGACAUCAUGAAAGAUGUGGGCCCUCCCUAGCACUCCAGUUUCAUCUUACAUCAUGCCACUCUUUGGUACUUUAUCCUUACUGUCCAGCUUCAUUUCCUAGAGUGUCCUGUGACCCUCUUGACUCAGAGCCUCUGCACGUGCUGUUCCCUGUGUUUGUCUCCUUUGUCCAGCUCUACCAACUUCCUUUAUCUCUCAGUGUUCAGGUGUCAUCUCAUCUCCAGCAUGAAUUAGAUGUCUUAUCUUGUGCUUCUCAUUGGGCUAUACUGUAAUGCUUAGCACAUUAGUCAGUUCCCUCAUUGCUAUAAAGAAAUACCUGAGGCUGGGUAAUUUAUAAAGAAAGGAGGUUUAAUUGGCUCACAGUUCUGCA
rnacentral:lncRNA from 1 species